GACCAUGUCAUGGUUGAAACACUGGUUUCGUACGAUCACCGGAAUUUAAGCAACGUCGAGCCUGGUCAGUACCUAGAUGGGUGACCGCUUGGGAAUACCA